AUAUUUUAUUACUAUUCGAAGCCUACCCCAAGGACCCUGUCUGGAUCCCAGUGAAUUGGAUUCCACCAUAAGAAAUAGGCAAAGGAUACAAAAAUGAACUUUAUACAGUUUAGUGAAAAUGAGGAGAAACCAUUAGAAUGCUUUCCCUGCUGGUCCCACAGAAGCUCUUACAAUUUAUAGAAACAAAAGCCACGUGAUACACACAUGAAGUGAGCCUGUGCUAGACAGGCGGAGGCAGAGGGUAAUCUGCACUCCCAGCUUCCUUGUUGUCCACCAGGCUGCAGGUGGGUACAGACCUCAGCCUCUACUCUCACUAUGAGCAAAUUUGGGAUGCAGAAAACAUUAUCAGGAAGUUGUCCUUAACUUCAGUCUGAUUCAUACUGAUCAUAAGAGUCCUCCUAAGGCACAAGGUGAUUACUGAUUCCUGUGGGCUUGGAAUUAGCACAUUAGAACAGAGAGUUAAGUUGGCAUUCUUUAAUUCCAGUAUUUUUCUCAGGAAACCUUCCCUUGGCUUUUGGUUAACUGAUCAGAAAUCAUGAACAGAGCAGUUAAGAGCUCUACACAGAGCAUGCACAAGGCCCUGGGUUCAAUCCUCAGUACGGGGGGCGAUGAGGGGGGAUGGAGUUCUGCAAAAGGUUGAGGAUAUAGUACAGUGGGACAGCAUUUGUCCAGUGUGCUCAAGGACCUGGGUUCUAUCCCCUGCACUGGGGUAGCAAAAAAAAAAAAAAAGUUUUACAGAACUAACAAAAACUUUUCCUCUAUAGUUCACAAAGAACAAGGGAUGACAAACAGGGUAAUACAUUUAA
rnacentral:lncRNA from 1 species